CGAUGCCUUUCGCGAUGUAGAAGGUCUGCAAGUGGGAGCGGAUAUAAUUAUACGCCCUGUAAUUCCUUUCUAUGAUCACGUCGCGAGUUGUCGCGUGUUCAGGUACUGGGAUCACUGGAACCAAAUUCAUGAAUAGGCUGAAAUAGGGUCUUCUGUGGAGGUAUGUUGGGUGCAGGAAUAAAUGCAGGCUCGAGAUUCUCAUUCACGCUCUUCUUAGGCCUCUUUAGUCUCUUCGGUUUCUGUGGUUGCUGGUCAUUAUAUUGUAAGCCGUCAUCAAAAGGAUACUCUGCGGGCGAUG
rnacentral:lncRNA from 1 species